UCUUUCUCUCCUACGCGUGCGCUCUCCUGUCAUCUCUCAUCCCUCCUCUCGCUCCUUCUCUACUGGAAAACCCACAAUGUUUCAUCUUCCUCUGCUCUUCUUUUCUCUCCGAUUCCCGUAUCUCUUGAUGUCAGAAAGCGUCUUACGGGUUCUUGGGAUGUGAGAGUCGAUCUUCCUAGCGCUGGCGGCAACGGCCGGAAACAAUAUCGGCAAAAUUCUGCUGAAGAAGGGCACCGUCGUUCUUCUUCCUCUCUCUUUCAAGCUCAAGGUAGGUGCUUUCUCAUUGUUUUUGUUUGCCCAUUUUGUCCUUUUUGAUUUUGUGAUUGCGUUCGAAUGGGGUUGAGUUGAUGGUCUCAAAUGACUCCUUAUCAUCUUAGGCAUCUUCUACAACUAUUGCAUGUGAAAAUCUGCUUCAGAUGGAGUUCUUCGUUUAAAUUGGGUUUUAUUAAGUUUUUCAUGUUUUUCUAGAAUUCUUCGUUAUUGGUCCAAAUAUUUGUUCAGAAUGGAAUUUUGGGUAAUGAUCAUUUUCCUCAGCAUUUUUUUGUUUCGUCUAAGAUGUAGUCCGACAAUUGCUCGGGUGACAAUGUCCAUUGGUGAGAUUGGUUGGAUUAGCCCACUUUUUGGUUGGUAUAUGUUUACUUAUGCGGCUUUCUGUAUAUAUUAGACUUCUCCUGCUGUAAUUUAACAGAUUUAAUUGUUACUUCAUUCAACGAAUAGCUCUUCAGUUUCCAUUUUGAAAUCGGCAUUGUUUACUUUCAUAUUGAUUCACCAUCACCUAACAAGGUUUCUUUGGACCCAAAACAAAUCAUAAUUAACUAUUCACUAAUCUAUUCGCUAAUCUGCUGCUUUAGUGUCAUUGACUUUUUAGAUUGGGAAGCACCAUACUGUUUCCAAUCAAUUAGUUUGAUAGGUGCUUAACAAUUUCCUAGGGUGGGAAACACUUGCUUUUUCUGUGUAGAAGAUUAAUACCAUGCAACCAUCACUUGUAUAUAA